CAGUAGCCGCGGUAAUACGUAGGUGGCAAGCGUUGUCCGGAAUUAUUGGGCGUAAAGCGCGCGCAGGUGGUUAAUAAGUCUGAUGUGAAAGCCCACGGCUCAACCGUGGAGGGUCAUUGGAAACUGUUAAACUUGAGUGCAGGAGAGAAAAGUGGAAUCCCUAGUGUAGCGGUGAAAUGCGUAGAGAUUAGGAGGAACACCAGUGGCGAAGGCGGCUUUUUGGCCUGUAACUGACACUGAGGCGCGAAAGCGUGGGGAGCAAACAGGAUUAGAUACCCCAGUAGUCCCUGUCUCUUAUACA
rnacentral:rRNA from 1 species